rnacentral:lncRNA from 1 species
CGCGGCCUCGGAGGCGCGCGCUCCCGGGCCGCCCAGGAGGUGGACCGGCGCUCGCCUCUCUUCGAUGCUUUUGUUCUGCAAGCGCUGUGACUGUGCUCAUCGCAUAAACAAUUGCAACUGCCCUGACGACACUGGACCCUCUCCCAGGAUCCCCAACGUCUUCUCAAACCGAAAAUGAAGAAUCUUGUGAGGGAGAAGGAGGAGGGUAGGUAGGAGGAGGCAUUUACAAAAUGCUACCUGUUGAGGUGCCCGCAUUUGAUGGAAACUUCACCCCGAUCAUGCAACAUCAGAGCUGAAAGGAAGGAUUUGGUCCUAACAAAGUUCCUUUCAUUGUUUAUUCCUGAGUAAACAAGUAUGACAUCGACCCAUAGCAAUGCUUUGAGAUUGGGAGUGGGGGGUGGGGGAACAACAGCUGUCAUCAAUCCAGUGUCUGGGGGUCUCGCUGACCCAUCUGAAGAGGGACGCAGAGAAAUGCCUGCUUUCAAUACAUCUAAUUUUAAAUACGCUACUAUAUUCAUCCACCUACCUGUUACAAGUCACCAGCCUCAGUUAUUAUGACGGAACAUACUGCGUUUUCUGUUGUUCUGUCUCAUUGUUCCCGUUUACCAAUAUUAAAGAUACAGCUUAAAAUGUUUUUCUUGCUGUGCUGAAGGGACUUCUUUGCUCCCACCGGCCUUGACUAUUUCAGUAACGUUCAUUCAAUCCUUUUAAUGUCUCUAAUUCAGUAAUCAAAUCUUAACAGGACAGUUGCAUGGGAGGGGAAUGGUAACUAGCGUGGUGCCAGCAGAAUAGAUGUCCAGCAACUGUCUAAAGAAUGAGGAAUAUGGAGCUCACUUUGGGGUAAAAACC